rnacentral:sRNA from 1 species
GGUCUGCAGGAUAAUCACCGGUGCUUUCCAGGGAGGCCGCCUCCGCCCUUGCGGAUGAAGGCGUUUCUAUUUUUCGGCUUUGGUAUGUCGUGGAUAUCCAUCACUUGAAUUGUCCUCUGCUUUUUUGCAUUUUGUGCUUCCUGGUAGUUUUCCUGGAGUCUCUUUCUGGCAGAAUCAAGCUUCUCAAGAUCCAUAAGAUUAUCUUUCUGCUCCCUUACACCUUACAACUGGAGCAGAGGAGGAAGUAGUAGAAUAGCCGAUGCUGUUGUUCUGUUUGUUGUUAUGAUAUGUAGGUGCUGGGCUUGUUCUGCGCUUCUCAAUCAUUGAUUCGACGCCAUUAUUAUUGCUAGAUCUCUCUGAACUCAAACCAUUAUGUCUCUGUGGGCUGGGAGAAUACUUGAAGUCUGAAACCUGCAACGGCAUAAUAAUAACAGAG